GACGAACGCUGGCGGCGUGCUUAACACAUGCAAGUCGAACGGAAAGGCCCUGCUUUUGUGGGGUGCUCGAGUGGCGAACGGGUGCGUAACACGUGAGUAACCUGCCCUUGACUUUGGGAUAACUUCAGGAAACUGGGGCUAAUACCGGAUAGGAGCUCCUGCUGCAUGGUGGGGGUUGGAAAGUUUCGGCGGUUGGGGGUGGACUCGCGGCUUAUCAGCUUGUUGGUGGGGUAGUGGCUUACCAAGGCUUUGACGGGUAGCCGGCCUGGGAGGGUGACCGGCCACAUGGGGACUGAGAUACGGACCAGAGUCCUACGGUAGGCAGCAGUGGGGAAUAUUGUACAAUGGGCGGAAGCCUGAUGCAGCAACGCCGCGUGCGGGAUGACGGCCUUCGGGUUGUAAACCGCUGUCGCCUGUGACGAAGCGGGAGUGACGGUAAUGGGUAAAGAAGCACCGGCUAACUACGUG
rnacentral:rRNA from 1 species